AGCUGCCACGCCCACCCCCUGGACCCGCCCGGGCCCCUCACAGCCCGUGGAGGCGCCUGCAGGGGUGGGCCGUGAGGGGCCCGGGCUCUACCCCCCGAGCACACAGCCGCCGUGUGCGACAGCCCCGGGCCAGGCAGCCGUGUGGACAGCCCCGACUUCAGCCCCGAGACGGGUGGGGGAGGAGUACGGAGCCAACAGUCGUGAGCGCUCACCCGCCCUCUGCUCGUCACGCGCAAGUUCGCUGGACCCUCGCGACUGUCCCCAGGGCAGGUGUGGUUAUUACCGACCCGCUACCGAGCGGGACACUGAGGCACAGAGGGAUGGGCCUGGCCAAGAUCCCACGGCCAUUUGCUGGGGACAGGUGUCCUGGCCACCCGCCUACUCCCAGGCGGCCCGACAGGAAGCGCUGGACGAAAGAAGGACCUCCAGUUGACUAGAAGUGGUGAGUCUGGGCGUCUCGGCCUUGUUUCCGAUCCCAGAGAACAGCUUCCAGCUUCUCACCGUCGAAGACGAUGCUAGCUGUGGGGUGUCAUAUACGGCCUUUAUUAGGGUGUUCUCAUGAUUUUUAUCCUUCACCUGGUCAACGCGGUGAAUCCCGUUGGUGGCUGCGUGGCUGUCGAACUAUCCUUGCAUCCCUGGAAUAAACCCCGCUCGGCCGCAGUGAGUGGUCGUGUUGACUGUUGAAUCUGGUUUGCUAAUCUCUUGUUGAGGAUUUUUGCCUCUAUGUUCACAAGGAUGUAGCCCCGGAAGCACCGUCUGCGUUUUAAUUCUUUGGAAACGCAUACUCCAUGAAUGGUAGACGUUAAGAGCUCGCAGUUACCCAAAAUGCCCGUUUAACCAAAGACGCCCACUCCCCAACCAUCUCACUCAGUGGGAGCUACUGUUGCAAAGGGAUCCAUCCCCUGGAAGGCUCAGGGAUGUGCCUCCAGCAACGACAGCACAGUGGUGGUUUAGGACAUGCCUCUAAUCCCCCAACAAUCCUAUGCAGGGUCAGCCCCUUCUCGAGUCAUGGCUCGGCAGCAAACCACAUCAGUUAACAAAUGGACAAAAUACGUGGAAUCUCUGAUCAUCUGUAAGGCACCAGACCGAUGUGAGGGCUGUUAAUAAUGAGAACAAACGUGCCGCUGUUCCUGUAGGUCAGCCCUGAACGCACGGCGAUCCACGCGCCAAUUUUCCAGAGCAGGACGAAGGUGUGGCGGCUUGAAAUGGAACGCGAGGUGUAGCGUUGCCUAGUGCCCUCCAGUCACCUCAGCAAACAGCCGGCCUCCACGUGGCUUACAAAAGACGGACCCCAGGAGGUGGGAGAAGUGGAAGAGUGGCUUCCCUGGCGGGAAGGUCCGUCUAUCACUGUCUACACCAUUUCCCGCAUCCUGAUCCUGAGGGUCAGUGUGCGGAGCAAUUGCGCUUGAGGUGGCUCUGCUGCUGUCACCUUCUUGUCACCUUCAAGUGACAGUCUGCUGGAGGGACGCGCCAGGAGCAGCCCUGCAGAGCGCUGGAUGCAGGGCAGGGCGCCCGGUGCAGAGACGCGUCUGCGUGUUGCAGCCCCUGGAGACGUGAGUCUCUCAGACGCCGUGGCGGUGAGGCGUGGGGUGUCUGCACACUGCAGGGCCCGCCACCCCCCCUGCGGUCACAGGGGCUCCCCCGGGUCCGGCUCAGCUGCUAGCUCUGGGCAUCCGUGUUCGAGGCCUCAUCUCGCUGGAUCUGCCAAUGAUCCCGCGUCGAGUGACAGUCGCUGUCAUUGCCCGCUGACAGCAGUGAGGGAAUGAAAAGUCUGGAAGGAACAACGCGUGCCUGGCCCCCGACGGGUGGGGUGGCCCCGUGUGAUCCCGCACAUGACACUGUCCUCACCUGCUCCCGCCUUCCGGGGGCUGCGGAGAAUCCUGCCCGCGUAGGCUUCAGGGUUACGUGGGGGAAAGCUGGCUCGCCCCCUGCGUUCCCACAGGCAUGUGCAGAGAGAAAUGUCACCAGAUUCGCCGGAUCUGAAAUCUGCCGGGAGACUGGGGAGGAAGCCUCUGCCUUCAGAAUUUGGCCGCAGCCAGAUAGACAGGAAAACGCUGCAUUCGACCCUACGGAACAAGAUGGAAUUCAGCGGAAACGUGAAUGACUCCGGAACCGGCUGGUUGAUUCCGGGAAUAUGUGUGACAGAGACCUGUGCACCUGCACGGUGCCUCAAGCACCUGGGUGUGACUCAGUCUGGCCAGGGCACGUCUCCAGGGAUGGUCACCUAGGGGCUCACUCAAGCAGCUGUCCCACCCUGUCCCCCACACACCAGUGCAGAAACGUUAAGCAUCCCUUCCCUGGGUGGACCUGGCCCUGAAGCCUGGGUAGAUCUCCUCCUCGCUCAGGGGACAUGCUCCAUCCAGAAACGCCAGACCACAGAGACGCCCCCCCCCCCCCGCCGUGAUGCCUUCCUUCCUUGUGACGUCCCCUCUGUGACAGCCCCCAGGACACCCUUGCACACAGCCUGGCGUCUGGGGUGGUGUCUCCAAGCAGAAGCCGCCAUCCGGCUCCCCCAAGUGUUGCUGUGAAGGCCACCAGACCCCGCAGUGGCCACCGAGGACCCCUUUCCCUCAGCACCUGCCCCCACAGCCUCCAAACCCGCGACACUCAAGGUUGCCCGGGGUGAGUCCUAGGGAGACGUGGUGAACGGGACCACCAGACCCCCAGCCUGCACAGCUAAGGCACCGCACCGCCCUCCCCCACCCCUGCCGGAGACAAGCUCGGCCUCGGGAGAGAGGCCCCAGGAACAACUGAGGGCAGGGGGUGGCUUUGCUAAGAGGGAGCCGCCCCAGAAGCCUGCACAGAGAGUCGUAAGACCCGUGCCCUUCGGCUCGCACACCACGCGAGGUUGGCAGGCCCCCCUGCAAACCACUGACGCGGCACCAGGGAGAGCGACAGACGUGGACGUCCCACAGCGGGCUGGCAGGUCCCCACCCUGGCCAGCAGGCUUCGCAGAGCCUGACCCGUAAAAUCAGUGCUCGUCCAAAGAUGCCCAAGCUUUGGGGGGGGGGGGGGAGAGAAGUACCUAUUUAUGUAUUCAAUCUAUUUAACAAAAACUUCAUAGAAAAUAUUAUCCAGACAUUCAGAGAGUGUUGCAGCCAUGAAACGGAAGUAAGAUGCUAUGUAAAACACAGAGGGGGGCCCCUCGGUGGCUCAGUCGGUUGAGCGUCUGACUUCAGCUCAGGUCAUGAUCUCAGCAGUUCGUGGGUUUGAGCCCCGGGUCUCAGAGCCUGGAGCCUGCUUCGGAUUCCAUGCGUCUCCCUCUCUCUCUGCCCCUCCCCUGCUUGCGCUCUCUCUCUCUCUCUCUCUCUCUCUCUCUCUCAAAAAUAAAUAGACAUUUAAAAAAUUAAAACAAAAAAAGAAUAUUCAAAGAAUAAGAAGGAAUUCUUGUGACAACAGUAUAAAAUUGUUGAUUGAGUGGAAGAAAAAGCCGAGGAAACCUCGCCAAAAAGAAAACUAAGAGCUGAAACAGGACAAAAAGGUAAGAAAAGUAUAUUCAGCCGAGGGGGCCUCACAACUCGAAGUGAGGGGUCCAGAACAGAGAGCAGAGGAAGGGGCAGGAGGCUGUCAAGGUCACAGGCCCGGAGGAAGGGCGUGACCUCGUCCACCUGUACCAGCGGACGAGACGAGAUGAGACGCGCGCUGGUGACCACAGGUCUCAAGCCACCGAGAAGCGAAGACUCCAGAAGGUCAGGAGGAGAGGCAGGGCGCUGGGAAUCAGGACGACGGGGACACCUCCGCUGAAACCCAGGAAGCUGGAGCACGCGGGGAGUGGCCUCUGGGGGGAAGUCUUGUCCAACGCAAAACUAUAUCCGCGGGCAAAUACGUCAAGGAUGGAGAAAGAAUACGCGUAUUUUUAGACAGGCGUGUCCUCAAAACAUUCAUCUCCCACACGUCCCCUCUCCGGAAACUACCACAGAAUGUGCCACGUCAGGGCCAGGGAGCAACCCCGACGGGAGGCCGUGGCUGUGGGCAGCGGGGUGAGGCUCGCCAGGUGAGCGGGGAAGGAAGCCCCCGGUGGCGCCCUCCACCCAGGGGCGCCUGCCAAGGUGGGAGGAGGACGCGACACGCCCGGGACACAUCAGCCGUGAGACGGAGGGUCGGACACCAGGACCAGUUGCGCAUCCUGCGGGGAGGCGUGGGUCUGGAGAGCGUGGCCGCAUCAACAGCGUCCAGGAGGAGGCGUCUCUAAAAGGACGGAGCCCUCACUGAUUCCAAGAAAAAAACAAAAUUUAAUACAAGAAAUGAAACCUAA